AGCAGCCGCGGUAAUUCCAGCUCCAAUAGCGUAUAUUAAAGUUGUUGCAGUUAAAAAGCUCGUAGUUGAAUUUCGGGAUCAGCGCGUCGGUCGUGCCUCCGGUAUGCACUGGCGCCGCUGGUUUCUCCCUUCUGAGGAACCGUGAUGUCAUUAAUUUGGUGUUGCGGGAAAUCAGGACUGUUACUUUGAAAAAUUAGAGUGUUUAAAGCGGGCACGCGCUUGAAUACAUUAGCAUGGAAUAACGAAAUAGGACGUUCGAUCUUAUUUUGUUGGUUUCUAGGAUUGACGUAAUGAUUAAUAGGGAUAGUUGGGGGCAUUAGUAUUCAAUUGUCAGAGGUGAAAUUCUUGGAUUUAUUGAAGACUAACUACUGCGAAAGCAUUUGCCAAGGAUGUUUUCAUUAAUCAAGAACGAAAGUUAGGGGAUCGAAGACGAUCAGAUACCGUCGUAGUCUUAACCAAUAAACUAUGCCGACUAGGGAUCGGAUGAUGUUAAUUUUUAAUGACUCAUUCGGCGCCUUAA
rnacentral:rRNA from 1 species